CUAACAGAGUGGUCUCAGCCACCAGACAGAGGUUCACUACUAACAGAGUGGUCUCAGCCACCAGAGGUUCACUACUAACAGAGUGGUCUCAGCCACCAGACAGAGGUUCACUACUAACAGAGUGGUCUCAGCCACCAGAGGUUCACUACUAACAGAGUGGUCUCAGCCACCAGACAGAGGUUCACUACUAACAGAGUGGUCUCAGCCACCAGAGGUUCACUACUAACAGAGUGGUCUCAGCUACCAGAGGUUUACUACUAACAGAGUGGUCUCAGCCACCAGAGGUUUACUACUAACAGAGUGGUCUCAGCCACCAGAGGUUCA